ensembl:lncRNA
ACCCCCCACUCCAUGGCAGGGUGGAGCCCCAUUGCUUUCCUUGCUCCGCAUGAAGCAACAGUAACAGAGGCAACACUCUCCUCCUCACAGCCGGAGUGUUGGGGAGGGUUACAGAGAAGGAGGAGCUACAGCAAGAGAUUCUUUUAAUUUGUGUAUGAAGUUGGCAUACACUCAAGUGUCCCAUGCAUGAAACCCACUGAAAUUAACAUAGAAAAAUCUCUGAGAACUGAACUAUGAUGUGGAAUACUGCAUGGUCUUAGAUUGGCCUCUGAGUAGCACACAAGCAGGGCAGACCAAAAUAACACUGAAUUUGGAACUAAAUGGACGUUCAAACACACAAACCACAAAAGUGAGCCAUAAUAUGCAUUCUAAACUGAAACAGGUUGAAGGCAUACUAAAGUAGAAGGUUAUUUUAAAGGAAACAGAUUGUUGUAGCAUAAUACCCAAAAACCCAGGAUAAAAAUCAAAUAUUACUAGAUCUGAACUGAACUGAGAAAAGACAAUCAACAGAUCCCAAUAUCAAGAUUACAUGGAUGAUGAAAUUCUGACAAGGGUUUUAAAGCAGCCAUCAUAAGAAAAAAAGGAAAGGGUAAAGGAAGGAAAGGAUCAACGAGCAACUGUGAACACUCUUGAAAUAGAGAAAUAAUUGAUGAAAAGUUUCAGCAAAGAAAUAGAAAAUAUAAAGGAAAACCAAAUGGAAAUUUUAGAACUAAAGAAUACAAAAAUAAGAAACUCAUUGGAUGGACACAGUGGCAGGAUGGAGAUGACAGAGGAAAGAAACAAUGAACUUGAAGUUGGGCCAAUACACACUAUGCAGCCUGAACAAGGAAACAAUAGGUGAGAAAAACAAACAGAACUCCAGGAGCCUGUCAGACAGUACCAAGAUACACUUAUGUCCCUGGAGUCCCAGAAGGAGAGAAGAAGGAGUGCAGUGCAGAAAAUAUAGAGAAAUAAUAACUGAAAAAUCCUCAAAUUUGGUAAAAGAGCAUAAAUUUACUGACUUAAGCUGAGUGAACCCCAAACUAAGAAUACAUAACAGUCCUAAAAUAAGAAGCUGAGUGAACCCCAAUCUGAGAAUACAUAACAAUCCUAAAAUAGUAUGCACUAAAAGCCAAAUUCUAGAUAGUAAGAUGGUGGACUAUAAAGAAAGCUGAGUGCCAAGAAUUGAUGCUUUUGAACUGUGGUGUUGGAGAAGACUCUUGAGAGUCCCUUGGACUGCAAGGAGAUCCAACCAGUCCAUCCUAAAGAUCAGUCCUGGGUGUUCACUGGAAGGUCUGAUGUUGAAGCUGAAACUCCAGUACUUUGGCCACCUCAUGCGAAGAGCUGACUCAUUUGAAAAGACCCUGAUGGUGGGAAAGAUUGAGGGCAGGAGGAGAAGGGGACGAUGGAGGAUGAGAUAGUUGGAUGGCAUCACGGACUCAAUGGACAUGAGUUUGGGUAGGCUCUGGGAGUUGGUUUUGGACAGGGAGGCCUGGCAUGCUGCAGCUCAUGGGGUCACAAAGAGUCAGGCAUGACUGAGCGACUGAACUGAAGGUGGUGGAUUCUGGGGGCUGGGGCUCAGGAUAUUGGCAGAUAUUGGUCAAAGGGUACAAAUAUCCAGUUAUAAGGUGAAUAAGUUUGGGGAUCUAAAGUAUGGUGUUUAACAAUACUGUAUUAUGUUCUUGAAAGUUGUUAAGAGAGUAGAUAUUAAAUGCUUUCAUCACAAAAAAAGAAAUGGUAAUUAUGUGAAGUGAUGGUAUAGAGAUAACUAAUACUAUUGUAAUAAUUUUGCAAUAUGUAAGUGUAUCAAAUUAUCACAUUUUAUACCUUAAACUUACACAGUAUGUCAACUCUAUCUCAAUAAACCUGGAAAAAAUGCAAAGUGGAAAAAAAUCUUCAGAAUAAGUAGGAGUUAUGGGACAUUUACAAAAGGUGUGGCGUACACAUAAUGAGAAAACAAGGAGAAAAAGAGAAGAAAUGAUUUGUAAGUCAUUGACGUCGUAAUGACUUACAAGUUUCCAAAAUUAAUGAUAGACACCAAACCACAAAUUCAAGAGGCUCAAGAAAUACCAAGCAGGAUAAAUACCAAAAAAUUGAUGCCAAAGCAUUUUAUAUUCAAACUGUAGGAAACCAAGGACAAAGAGAAAAUCUUGAAAGAAGCUGGGUAUGGAGGGAAACAACUUACUUGUAGAGGAACAAGGAUGAAAAUUAUAUUGGGCUUUCUCAUCAGAAACCAUGAAAGCAAGAAGAGAGUGGAGUGAGAUACCCAAGUGUUGAAAGAAAAUAACAACCAGCCUAAAAUGUUGUAUCCAGCAAAAUUAUCAUUCAAAAAUGAAGGAGAAAUAAAGUCUUUCUCAGACAAACAAAAAACUGAAGGAGAGAGGAGCUAGAGAUCAAAUUGCCAACAUCCAUUGGAUCAAAGAAAAAGCAAGGGAAUUCCAGAAAACCAUCUAUUUGCUUCAUUGAGUACACUAAAGCCUUUGUGUGGAUCACAACGAACUGUGGAAAUUUUUUAGAGAUGGGAAUACCAGACCACCUUACCUGCCUCUUGAGAAACCUGUAUCGGAUCAAGCAGCAACAGUUAGAACUAGACAUGGAACAAUGAACUGGUUCCAAAUUGGGAAAGGGGUACGUCAAGGCUGUAUAUUAUCACACUGCUUAUUUAACUUCUAUGCAGAGUACAUCAUGCGAAAUGCCGGGCUGGAUAAAGCUCAAGCUGGAGUCAAGAUGGCUGGGAGAAAUAUCAAUAACCUCAGAUAUGCAGAUGACCCCACCCUAACGGCAGAAAGUAAAGAACUAAAGAGCCUCUUGAUGAAGGUGAAAGAGGAGAGUGAAAAUGCUGGCUUAAUACUUUACAUUCAAAAAACGAAAAUCAUGGCAUCCAGUCUCAUCACUUCAUGGCCAAUAGAUGGGGGGAAAGUAGAAACAGUGACAGACUAUUUUCUUGGGCUCCAGAAUCACUGCAGAUGGUGACUGCAGCUUGCUCCUUGGAAGGAAGGCUAUGACAAACCUAGACAGCGUAUUAAAAAGCAGAGGCAUUACUUUGCGAACAAAUGUCUGUAUAGUCAAAGCUAUGGUUUUUCCACUAGUCAUGUACCGAUGUGAGACCUGGACCAUAACGAAGACUGAGCACCAAAGAAUUGAUGCUUUUGAACUAUGGUGCUGGAGAAGACUCUUGAGAGUCCCUUGGACAGCAAGAUCAAGCCAGUCAAUCCUAAAGGAAAUCAAUCCUGAAUAUUCAUGGGAAGGACUGAUACUGAAAGCUGAAAAUCCAAUCCUCUGGCCAUCUGAUGUGAAGAGCUUACUCACUGGAAAAGACACUGAUGCUGGGAAAGAUUGAGGGCAGGAAGAAAGGGAGAGACUGGCAUCAUCAACUCAAUGGACAUGAGUUUGAACAAACUCCAGGAGAUAGUGAAGGAAAGGGAAGCCUGGCUGCUGCAGUCCACAGGGUCACAAAGAGUUGGACAUGACUGAGCAACUGAACAACAACAGACCUGCCUUGCAAGAAGUGUUAAAAGAAGUUCUUUGGAGAGAAGGAAAAUAAUAGCAAUUGGAAAUUCAGAUCAACAUAAGGAAGAAAGGUAUCUGAGAAGGAAGAAAUGAAGGUAAAAUACAGUCUUCAUUGCUUGUAUACCUACCUAAUCUUAGAGAUAAUUCUUUGUCCAAAGUAAUAAUAACAACAGCGAACAGGGUGAUUCUAGCAUAUGAAAAGUGAAUUGAAUGGCAGCAAUGUUAUAAUGGAUUGGAGGGAGGAAUUGGGACCACUCCAAGGGAGUUGGAGUACCCAUGAAGUGGUACAGUGUCAUUUGAAAGUGGACUUAUAAACAAGUAUCAAAUCAUUAAGCUGUGCAUCUUCAGGUAAUGUAAUGUUAUAUCAAUAUGUCCAUUGUACCUCAAUAAAUAAAAAUGUAAAAGAAAGUGGACUGGGAUUAGUUGCAGACAUACUGCACACUCCAGUGCAGCAGUCCCCAACCUUUUUGGCACCUGGGACCGGUUUCAUGGAAGGCAAUUUUUCUGUGGACUGGGGCCGGUGGGACAGUUUGGGGAUGAUUCAAGCGCAUAACAUUUAUUGUGCACUUUAUUCCUAUUAUGAAAGUGCUGCACUCAAUAUGCCAGCAAAUUUGGAAAACUCAGCAGUGGCCACAGGACUGGAAAAGGUCCGUUUUCAUUCCAAUCCCAAAGAAAGGCAAUGCCAAAGAACGCUCAAACUACCGCACAACUGCACUCAUCUCACACUCUAGUAAAGUAAUGCUCAAAAUUCUCCAAGCCAGGCUUCAGCAAUACGUGAACCGUGAACUUCCUGAUGUUCAAGCUGGUUUUAGAAAAGGCAGAGGAACCAGAGAUCAAAUUGCCAACAUCUGCUGGAUCAUGGAAAAAGCAAGAGAGUUCCAGAAAAACAUCUAUUUCUGCUUUAUUGACUAUGCCAAAGCCUUUGACUGUGUGGAUCACAAUAAACUGUGGAAA